GACGUAGGGCGCAAGCGUUGUCCGGAUUCAUUGGGCGUAAAGGGUGCGUAGGCGGCGCGGUAAGUCGGGUGUGAAAUCUCGGGGCUUAACUCCGAAACUGCAUUCGAUACUGCCGUGCUUGAGGACUGGAGAGGAGACUGGAAUUUACGGUGUAGCGGUGAAAUGCGUAGAUAUCGUAAGGAAGACCAGUGGCGAAGGCGGGUCUCUGGACAGUUCCUGACGCUGAGGCACGAAGGCCAGGGGAGCAAACGGG
rnacentral:rRNA from 1 species